rnacentral:lncRNA from 13 species
UUGGAUUAUGGAGGCACUUUCUCCCAGGCUGUUCUCGUGAUAGUGAGAGAGUUUUCACGAGAUCUCACGGUUUUAAAAGUGGCAGUUUCCCCUGCACACUCGCUCGCUCUCCUACGGCCUGUUUCCCCUUCACCUUGCCUCCUGCGGUUUCUCCACCCAUGCAGAACUGGUUCUAAUGGACAUCACUUGGGAGUAUUGAGAAAUGAUCUACCAUCACAGCCACCAUCGAACCCACUUGUUCCCAAAAUGGCCAGCCUAGAAAGUCCUCGGCUCCACACAUCAAGCGCUCCACAUCCUCAUGUUGAAACAUCCCCAAACUGCUGCUUGCCCUUCUACAGUCAACGAAGAACUGCCAAAUUAUCUGAAAACCAACUGGAAAGUCCUCUCUAGAAAUCCCACCUUAAUAGAACACUGGCCGAUUGGAUUGUUUCAAUAUUUCCUCUAUAAAACUUGGUCUCUUUUCUAAAACUUUUGAACCCCUGCUGAAACAAGCAAUAAGUUUUCUUGCUGCAAGUUUAUAAACAAAUACCCUUUCUUAAUUUUGUCUUGAUUGUAGGCUUAUCUUUGACAACAUGUUUAUGUCAGUGCUUAUAAUAAAUGUGUUCCAUGAAUGUAAACA